GAGGAGGUGGCUCAGUGGUUAAGAGCACUUGGCUGCUCUUGCAGGGGAUCUGAGUUCAGUUCUCAGCACCCACA
rnacentral:tRNA from 1 species